CUUCUUUUAUACGGGAAUAAAGUGCCCCACGCGUGGGGUUUUGCAUGUACCGUAUGAAUAAGGAUCGGCUAACUCCGUGCCAGCAGCCGCGGUAAUACGGAGGAUCCGAGCGUUAUCCGGAUUUAUUGGGUUUAAAGGGUGCUCAGGCGGGGGAUUAAGUCGGCGGUGAAAUUUUGCAGCUCAACUGUAAAAGUGCCUUCGAAACUGGUUUCCUUGAGUGUGGAUGAGGUAGGCGGAAUUUGUGGUGUAGCGGUGAAAUGCAUAGAUAUCACGAGGAACUCCGAUUGCGCAGGCAGCUUACUAAACCAUAACUGACGCUCAAGCACGAAGGCGUGGGGAUCAAACAGGAUUAGAUACCCUGGUAGUCCACGCAGUAAACGAUGAUUACUGGCUGUUUGCGAUAUAAUGUAAGCGGCUGAGCGAAAGCGUUAAGUAAUCCACCUGGGGAGUACGUUC
rnacentral:rRNA from 1 species